AAACAAAACCAGUACCAACUAAAUGUUAGGUACAUGGGCGUCCGCAGGAAUUUUUCCGGGGGGUUGGGAUAACUGUAAUGGCAUCCAUGCCUGGCCCCUUUUUGACCGUGUCAUGAAUGGGAGGGGCAUUAUUAUCACAUAAAGCCAGGGUGACCAGAUUUUGGAAAUAAAAAACCGGGACACCCAUUAGGCAAAGAGGCGAAGCAGGGCGAGCCAUGCAGAGAUCAGUGUGACGCUGGAAAUAAGGGGAGUGAAAAUACAUUUUUAACAAGGGGGGGCAGUAUAUGUAAAUAGCGUUUUCACAAAUAUGGUGUCAGGAAUACAUGUUUGUGUUUCUUACACUAUAGUGUUCCUUUUAAGCAAAUUAAAAG